UACAGAGGGGCAAGCGUUGUCUGGAAUUACUGGCGUACAGCGCGCGCAGGCGGUUGCCGACGUGCCGUGUGACAAGCGGGGCUCAACCCCGAGGCCACGGUAACGGGCGACUGGAGGAGGAGAGGGAUGUGGAAUGCCCGGUGGAGCGGUGAAAUGCGUAGAGAUCGGGCGAACACCAGCGGCGAAGGCGGCAUCCUGGCCCUUACCUGACGCUGAGGCGCGAGAGCGUGGGGAGCAAACCGG
rnacentral:rRNA from 1 species